rnacentral:lncRNA from 10 species
GCUAGGCAGUCACCACAGGAAAUCAGAAAGGGCAUCUCUCAAGGGUUGCAUACCUUCCUGGUCCAAUAAGAAUAUGAGAGUCAAAUGCAGCUUCUACUUCUCCCAGGCAUUUCAAAUUAGUGCCUUGCUGUGUGAUAGUGAGUUCUUUGCUCAACCCCUCUGGACUCUCACCAUUUCAUCCCAUUCUUUAUUCCCCAGACCAACUCCAGGCUGAUAGGAAAAAAGAUGAAAACAGAUUCUUCAAAAGCAUGAAUAAAAAUGACAUGAAGAGCUGGGGCUUGUUACAGAAAAAUAAUCAUAAAAUGAACAAAACCUCAGAGCCCGGGUCAUCUUCUGCAGGUAAGAGUCCUGUCUCUGAAUACUAAGGGACCUCUAAGUCUACAGGUGGUCAAAAUGCUGUAUCCACCCAAUUCCACUAAAUGGAAUAAAUGAAUAAAUGAAUGAAUUCAUUUAUUCCAUUUCCUCAGUUCCUCCCCAAAUUACACCUCUGCCAGGAAACAGAGGGCGCUC